CGCAUCUGUGCAUGCAGCAUAUCAAUAAGCGGAGGAAAAGAAACUAACAAGGAUUCCCCUAGUAACGGCGAGUGAAGCGGGAAGAGCUCAAAUUUGAAAUCUUAAGGGUUUCCCUUACGAAUUGUAGUUUAAAGAAGUGUUUUCUGUUGAGGUUUUGGUAAAAGUUCUUUGGAAUAGGACAUCAUAGAGGGUGAGAAUCCCGUAUUUGACCUUUACUUUCAACUUUGUGAUACACUUUCAAAGAGUCGGAUUGUUUAGGGAAUGCAGUCCAAAAUGGGUGGUAAAUUUCAUCUAAAGCUAAAUAUUGGCGAGAGACCGAUAGCGAACAAGUACCGUGAGGGAAAGAUGAAAAGAACUUUGAAAAGAGAGUUAAACAGUACGUGAAAUUGUCAAAAGGGAAGCGUUUGACACCAGUGUUGUUUUUCUGAAAAUCAAUUAAAGAACUGUUUAUGCUAAGCUGUUUAGACUUUAUCAGCUAUCUGUUUAGUUUUGAGCUUUUCUUUAAUGCACUUUUCAGUUAACAAGUCAACAUCAAUUUCUUUUGCUGUAAAAAAGCUUGAGGAAGGUGGCUUGAGAUUCGUCUUAAGUGUUUAUAGCCUCUUGCCUAUGCAGUCGGAGAGAUUGAGGUCUGCAGCGUAGAUCCUUCGGGGCUAAAUGCAUUUGUGCUAAGUUAUAGCAUUUUAUAGACAACUUGUUGACUAUGAUUUGUCUUGUAGCUUACUCGCUUAUGUUAUUUUACCUACGCUUAGGAUGUUGAAUCUGUGCGAGACUAC
rnacentral:rRNA from 1 species